UACGGGGGGGGGCAAGCGUUUGUUCGGAAUUACUGGGCGUAAAGGGCUCGUAGGCGGCCAACUAAGUCAGACGUGAAAUCCCUCGGCUUAACCGGGGAACUGCGUCUGAUACUGGAUGGCUCGAGUUUGGGAGAGGGAUGCGGAAUUCCAGGUGUAGCGGUGAAAUGCGUAGAUAUCUGGAGGAACACCGGUGGCGAAGGCGGCAUCCUGGACCAACACUGACGCUGAUGAGCGAAAGCUAGGGGAGCAAACAGG
rnacentral:rRNA from 1 species